ACCUACUUGAGGAUUGAGGAACGUUAAUGGCUAGCCUAGAUGCUAGCUAGGUAGCUAUUAGUAUUUCACAUGUGACGUGUGGUUUAUGAGUUACUUGAACACCUGUGCAAUACCUUGUUAUUUUCACAGCUGACGAGAACUUGUAUUCCCCAUCCAGACUGUGAGGGUUGAAAAUAUGCUUGUCCUAUCAUGAGGGUGUCUGUGUGUGCUGGAAGUAACAUUUUGCAACAUAUGGUGUAACUAGCGGGAAGGCUAUGGCUAACCUUGGGUGUAGGCAGUUAUCAUGAGUUGUGGGGGACCCAUACAGAACGUAGUGUAGCAAACAACAGACUGUCUUUUGUUAGAACUCAAACUUGGCAAUAACGGGAAACAGAGGUGUGGGCUCAUAAGAUAUUCUCCCCAGCAACAGCUACACCUACCAACUGGAACGCCUGGGGCUGGGACCAGCCUGUGCGCCAAUGAUAGGCUGAGUGAGUCUAAACCAUGCUCAGCCUCUACUCUGAUAGGCCAGCUCAGAAGCGGGAACUCCUUCUGUCACAGUAUAUUAGAAGAACUUUGUCAAGAACUAGUCAGUUCUCUGUUCUGCCCUGCGUGGUGUUACAGUGAACCCGUAUAUACGAAAAUUGCAUUUACCAUUUAUUGCUUGACUAAUAAUUUUAAAAAACAUAGAAGAUUCUCGGUGACUCCGUGUCACCUUCUGUCCUGAUACCAGAUUCGAUCGACGCAACCAUAACAAUCGGUGACCCCGAACGUGAUCUGGUAACCGGACUUCGCUGGAAAUUGUCCGGCCGAUUGGCCAUUGCUAUCGUUGGACGGUGUGCCUCACAAAUCCUGACCGGCCAACUAAAAAAGGAAUACAAUACACCCAUCUCCAGAGAACUGUGAAAGUAGACGUGGAUUCAUCAGAUUUGGCCCUCCCUCAUGUACCUCUUCAACGUGUUGAUGAUGCAGUUUGAUGAGGCCCGUCUGUGGGUGAACACAGACCUUGGCCAACUAGAUUGGAUGGAGCCUCCCUCUGCUGUCAUCCUAAGAUUUGUGCAAAUCCUUCUAAAACUGAAAAUGGACAAAUCAAUGGAUAUCAAAUCAACAAAGAGGUAUACAAACGAGGAGGCAUACAAAGGUAUGUCAGUUGGUAUUGGUAUGUAAUGCAGAUCACAUUUACCAUCCUCCUCCCUUUCCUCUUCAAUGAAUAUCCCUUAGGCCUCUACAUUAUGGACAAGACUUCACCCUCCCUACACCUCUGAUGAAUAUAACAGGGAACCUAU